CAACUUCUUCCCAAGCUCGUACCAAUAUGGAAGCUUCACCAAGCAGUCAAAUUUUUCUGUGUGAUCUUUGGAAGAGAAACGUAAUAUUGCAAGUUGUGAGUUCAAAACAAUGUUCAUAUGUACUAAAAACAGGGCUGUGAGUUUCAAGAGGGCAGAGGCAUGUCUGUUCACUUCUUUGUGACUAGGACCUAGCUCAGUGCCUGAACCACGGUAGAUUCUCACCACCUGUUUGAUUCUGAUGAAUUCACUGAGAACACCAACUCACUGGCACAGGCAGCACCUCCUUAAGAGUUUUCUUUUAAACCACCUUAGCAUUUAUGUGCUCCAACCUCAAAGGUAAGCAAAUCACAUUGCCUAUGUGAUAUCAGAGCUUAGCCACAGUCUGUUGAGUUGCUCAUGGUGUUAAGUGAGUUCCUCUAUGGAGCUUU
rnacentral:lncRNA from 1 species